ACCCACACAUACACACACAUCUGCCACACUUGGCUCUCACGGCCUGGAAGGACAGAAGCGCUUCCUGAGCAAUGGGGCUGACCUGCAGAGAGGGUCAUUUGAAAUAAAACACAGCCUGGAUGGGUCCAGCCUUCUCUCCAGAACUUCGGCUCUGGGCAUCCACCUGCCUACUCACUAUCGCCCCCUGUCGGAGGGAGCCCACUCGAUGUUCCUGGCUCUGAAGGUGGAGGAAGGGGUUACAAGCCAAGGAAUGUGAGCAGUCCUGAGAGUAGAGACCCCAAGGAAAGUCUCUCCUAGAGGCCCAGGUAGGAGUGCCUUGACCUUAGCCUCCCAGACCGGCAUCGGACUUGACUCUGCAGAACUGUGAAGUCACAAAUGUGUGUGGCCUUAAAGCAACAGUAGCCCUGUGACGUUGUCACAGAACACUUCAUUCCGAUCACCGCUCAGACAUCUCCUUCCCAGAGAGGCCUCCUGGUGUCCAUGGAAGCCGGCACCACUUCCCAGAGCACCUCUGCCACGGGGUGCUCCGUCCUCAGCUCUGCUCUUCCUCUGACACUGAUCGCUCUCAACUGUAUUAUUUGGGUCAUUGGAAAAGUCAUGACACAUUUUUG